GUGGGGAAUCUUAGACAAUGGGCGCAAGCCUGAUCUAGCCAUGCCGCGUGAGCGAUGAAGGCCUUAGGGUUGUAAAGCUCUUUCGUGGGGGAAGAUAAUGACUGUACCCCAAGAAGAAGCCCCGGCUAACUCCGUGCCAGCAGCCGCGGUAAUACGGAGGGGGCUAGUGUUGUUCGGAAUUACUGGGCGUAAAGCGCACGUAGGCGGACUGGAAAGUCAGGGGUGAAAUCCCGGGGCUCAACCCCGGAACUGCCUUUGAAACUCCCAGUCUUGAGUUCGAGAGAGGUGAGUGGAAUUCCGAGUGUAGAGGUGAAAUUCGUAGAUAUUCGGAGGAACACCAGUGGCGAAGGCGGCUCACUGGCUCGAUACUGACGCUGAGGUGCGAAAGCGUGGGGAGCAAACAGGAUUAGAAACCCCUGUAGUCC
rnacentral:rRNA from 1 species